AGUGAACGCUGGCGGUAGGCCUAACACAUGCAAGUCGAACGGCAGCACAGUAAGAGCUUGCUCUUACGGGUGGCGAGUGGCGGGCGGGUGAGGAAUACAUCGGAAUCUACUUUUUCGUGGGGGAUAACGUAGGGAAACUUACGCUAAUACCGCAUACGACCUACGGGUGAAAGCAGGGGAUCUUCGGACCUUGCGCGAUUGAAUGAGCCGAUGUCGGAUUAGCUAGUUGGCGGGGUAAAGGCCCACCAAGGCUACGAUCCGUAGCUGGUCUGAGAGGAUGAUCAGCCACACUGGAACUGAGACACGGUCCAGACUCCUACGGGAGGCAGCAGUGGGGAAUAUUGGACAAUGGGCGCAAGCCUGAUCCAGCCAUACCGCGUGGGUGAAGAAGGCCUUCGGGUUGUAAAGCCCUUUUGUUGGGAAAGAAAAGCAGCAGGUUAAUACCCCGCUGUUCUGACGGUACCCAAAGAAUAAGCACCGGCUAACUUCGUG
rnacentral:rRNA from 1 species